GAGAUGAGAGGAACCCUUCUUCCUCCGUCUUCCUUCGACCUCGACCUCGGCAUGUCGCUCCCCAGCUACUCCGACUCCGCCAAGGUCGCCUACGUCCUCCAGGCUGCCCUGAUGUCUGCCAUUUACGAGGAGAACAAGGACGAGGACGGCUUCCUCUACAUGACCUACAACGGCGAGAACACCUUCGGAUUGCUCUAGAUGGCGCUGGCUGCCACGGCAAUCGCUCUGAAUGCCUCCUGUAAAUAAGGUGUGCCAAUGAACUGUGUAUAUAUUCCGGUUUGCCUCGUCGUAGGAUCUUUAAAUUGCACAACCAAGAAAAAUCUAUUCGUGUCCUGACUUAUCCUAUUUGAAUGUUCUGACUUAUAUA